rnacentral:rRNA from 1 species
UCCUACGGGAGGCAGCAGUGGGGAAUAUUGCACAAUGGGGGAGACCCUGAUGCAGCCAUGCCGCGUGUGUGAAGAAGGCCUUCGGGUUGUAAAGCACUUUCAGUUGUGAGGAAAAGUUAGUAGUUAAUACCUGCUAGCCGUGACGUUAACAACAGAAGAAGCACCGGCUAACUCCGUGCCAGCAGCCGCGGUAAUACGGAGGGUGCGAGCGUUAAUCGGAAUUACUGGGCGUAAAGCGCACGCAGGCGGUUUGUUAAGCUAGAUGUGAAAGCCCCGGGCUCAACCUGGGAUGGUCAUUUAGAACUGGCAGACUAGAGUCUUGGAGAGGGGAGUGGAAUUCCAGGUGUAGCGGUGAAAUGCGUAGAUAUCUGGAGGAACAUCAGUGGCGAAGGCGACUCCCUGGCCAAAGACUGACGCUCAUGUGCGAAAGUGUGGGUAGCGAACAGGAUUAGAUACCCUGGUAGUCCACACCGUAAACGCUGUCUACUAGCUGUGUGUGCCUUUAAGGCGUGCGUAGCGAAGCUAACGCGCUAAGUAGACCGCCUGGGGAGUACGGCCGCAAGGUUAAAACUCAAAUGAAUUGACGG